rnacentral:rRNA from 1 species
CGAGACCUCAGGUCAGGCGGGGCUACCCGCUGAAUUUAAGCAUAUCAUAAGCGGAGGAAAAGAAACUAACAAGGAUUCCCUUAGUAAC